rnacentral:lncRNA from 1 species
CACUGUGUAGAACUAAGAUAUCAUUUAUUGCAACAGUUGCUGAGGAAUCCAUCAUCUCCUAGAAACCAUUUUGAUUAUAAGGGAAUUUCAAACAAUUAAAACGUCACAAUAUUCUGAUGUCAUCACAGUCCACCGAAUACAUUCGGAUGAUAUCACAACCCACCAUACACAUUCUGAUGACAUCACAGUCCACCAUACACAUUCUGAUGACAUCACAGUCCACCAUACACAUUCUGAUGACAUCACAGUCCACCAUACACAUUCUGAUGACACCACAACCCACCAUACACAUUCUGAUGACACCACAACCCACCAUACACAUUCUCCAGAUUGUGUCUUGUUCACAUUGACAGUUAAAGAUGUAAAAGGCAGCAGAGCUGUAACAGAGCUGUAACAGUGCUGUAAUGUUAUGAUGUCUAUUGGUGCGUUAAUAAAUUCACUCUGACUAUCUAAUCCUAUUCCAGAGCACUCAUCGUCUGAGUGUACCAGAGUCCAAAAUAACUAAUUCAUUUAUGAGCACCCAUUGAAUAUGAUCGGUGUCAGUAAACGUUGGCAAAGAAAUGUAAAUAUAUUGUUGUCUGCAGCACAAUUACAGUCACCAAUGCUUUGGAUAACAAGAAAACAUCCUAACCAGCUCUGCUAUGGUGAAUGAUCAGAGUGAGGUGUUCUGGAAGUAGCUAGCUAGCUAGCCAACUUUAGCCAGUUAUGUUGGGCGCAUGACAGCUGUUGUUAGGUCAGAACGCUCUGAUUAACCCUUCACCACCUGAGUGUCCAGUGUGAGCUCUGAUUUCUCCAAGAGUGAAACGCUCUGAAUUGACUAAUUCUGCACUCCAGAGUGAAUUUACGAACAAACCCUAUAACUAGUCUGGUUGUAGUCUUUUCUUUAUGAGGUAACACAGAGACCUAUAGCUACUAGGGCUGGAUGUAUUAUUGCUAUAUUCAGUUCACUCCAAUUCAGUCUAUCGCUAACCCUAACUUCACUGUAAGGGAAAUUAAACCAGUUAUGGGUUUGUUGAAGUGGAUGGCCUAUUGCAGGUCACUCGUCUGGUAUAGUUGUCUUAAGAUGAUAGGGUGAGGUGUAGUCUGGUAUAGAUGUCUGUAGCUGAUGGGGUGAGGUGUAGUCUGGUAUAGAUGUCUGUAGCUGAUGGGGUGAGGUGUAGUCUGGUAUAGAUGUCUGUAGCUGAUGGGGUUAGGGUGAGGUGUAGUCUGGUAUAGAUGUCUGUAGCUGAUGGGGUGAGGUGUAGUCUGGUAUAGAUGUCUGUAGCUGAUGGGGUGAGGUGUAGUCUGGUAUAGAUGUCUGUAGCUGAUAGGGUGAGGUGUAGUCUGGUAUAGAUGUCUGUAGCUGAUUGGGUGAGGUGUAGUCUGGUAUAGAUGUCUGUAGCUGAUAGGGUUAGGUGUAGUCUGGUGGUAGUUGUAGUCUAUCAGUUGAUGAUGUACGUUGGGUCUGGUAUUUGUAGUUCAUCAGUAGAAGAUGCAGGGUGGAUCUGGUAGUUGUAGUUCAUCUGUAGAAGAUGCAGGGUAGGGCUUGUUGUCCAUCAGUAGAAGAUGUAGAUUGGUUCUGGUAGUUGUUCAUCAGUAGGACAUGCAAGGUCGAUCUUAUUGUUAGUCAGUUGAAGAUGCAGGGUGAAUCUGGUAGUUGUAGUUCAUCAAUAGAAGCUGCAAGGUCAAUCUUGUAGUUCAUCAGUAGAAGAUGCAGGGUGGAUCUGCUAGUUGUAGUCCAUCAGUAGAACAUGCAGGGUGAAUCUGGUAGUAGUAGUCCAUCAGUAGAAGAUGCAGGGUAGAUCUGGUAGUUGUAGUCCAUCAGUAGAAGAUGCAGUGUGGAUCUGCUAGUUGUAGUGCAUCAGUAGAACAUGCAGGGUGAAUCUGGUAGUAGUAGUCCAUCAGUAGAAGAUGCAGUGUGGAUCUGGUAGUUGUAGUCCAUCAGUAGAAGAUGCAGGGUGGGUGUGGUAGUUGUAGUCCAUCAGUAGAAGAUGCAGGGUGCAUCUUGUAGUCCAUCAGUAGAAGAUGCAGGGUGGGUGUGGUAGUUGUAGUCCAUCAGUAGAAGAUGCAGGGUGGGUGUGGAAGUUGUAGUCCAUCAGUAGAAGAUGCAGGGUGGGUGUGGAAGUAGAAGAUGCAGGGUGCAUCUUGUAGUCCAUCAGUAGAAGAUGCAGGGUGGGUGUGGUAGUUGUAGUCCAUCAGUAGAAGAUGCAGGGUGGGUGUGGAAGUUGUAGUCCAUCAGUAGAAGAUGCAGGGUGUAUCUUGUAGUCCAUCAGUAGAAGAUGCAGGGUGGGUGUGGUAGCUGUAGUCCAUCAGUAGAAGAUGCAGGGUGGGUGUGGAAGUUGUAGUCCAUCAGUAGCAGAUGCAUGGUGUAUCUGGUAGUUGUAGUCCAUCAGUAGAAGAUGCAGGGUGGGUGUGGUAGUUGUAGUCCAUCAGUAGAAGAUGCAG